CAGCCGCCACGGGAACACGAAGGGUGCAAGCGUUACUCGGGAUUACUGGGCGUAAAGCGUGCGUAGGUGGUGGUUUAAGUCCGUUGUGAAAGCCCUGGGCUCAACCUGGGAAUUGCAGUGGAUACUGGAUCACUAGAGUGUGGUAGAGGAUAGUGGAAUUUCCGGUGUAGCAGUGAAAUGCGUAGAGAUCGGAAGGAACAUCUGUGGCGAAGGCGACUAUCUGGGCCAACACUGACACUGAGGCACGAAAGCGUGGGGAGCAAACAGGAUUAGAUACCCGGGUAGUCCCUGUCUCUUAUAC
rnacentral:rRNA from 1 species